CUACGGGGGGCUGCAGUGAGGAAUAUUGCACAAUGGGGGGAACCCUGAUGCAGCAACGCCGCGUGGAGGAUGACGCAUUUCGGUGUGUAAACUCCUUUUAUGUGUCAAGAAAAUGACGGUAGCAUAUGAAUAAGCGCCGGCUAACUCCGUGCCAGCAGCCGCGGUAAUACGGAGGGCGCAAGCGUUACUCGGAAUCACUGGGCGUAAAGGACGCGUAGGCGGGUUGAAAAGUCAGGUGUGAAAGCCUACAGCUUAACUGUAGAACUGCACUUGAAACUCUCAAUCUAGAGUAUGGGAGGGGCAGAUGGAAUUAGUGGUGUAGGGGUAAAAUCCGUAGAUAUCACUAGGAAUACCUAAAGCGAAGGCGAUCUGCUGGAACAUUACUGACGCUAAGGCGUGAAAGCGUGGGGAGCAAACAGGAUUAGAUACCCUUGUAGUC
rnacentral:rRNA from 1 species